rnacentral:rRNA from 1 species
GACGAACGCUGGCGGCGUGCUUAACACAUGCAAGUCGAACGGAAAGGCCCUGCUUUUGUGGGGUGCUCGAUUGGCGAAGGGGUGAGUAACACGUGAGUAACCUGCCCUUGACUUUGGGAUAACUUCAGGAAACUGGGGCUAAUACCGGAUAGAAGCUCCUGCUGCAUGGUGGGGGUUGGAAAGUUUCGGCGGUUGGGGAUGGACGCGCGGCUUAUCAGCUUGUUGGUGGGGUAGUGGCUUACCAAGGCUUUGACGGGUAGCCGGCCUGAGAGGGUGACCGGCCACAUUGGGACUGAGAGACGGACCAGACGCCUACGGGAGGCAGCAGUGGGGAAUAUUGCACAACGGGCGGAAGCCUGAGGCAGCAACGCCGCGUGCGUGAUGACGGCUUUCGGGUUGUAAACCGCUUUCGCCUGUGACGAAGCGUGAGUGACGGUAAUGGGUAAAGAAGCACCGGCUAACUACGUG